rnacentral:rRNA from 1 species
CGUAACAAGGUCUCCGUAGGUGAACCUGCGGAGGGAUCAUUACACAAUAACAAGGCGGGCUGGACACCCCCAGCCGGGCACUGCUUCACGGCGUGCGCGGCUGGGCCGGCCCUGCUGAAUUAUUCACCCGUGUCUUUUGCGUACUUCUUGUUUCCUGGGUGGGCUCGCCCGCCAUCAGGACCAACCACAAACCUUUUGCAAUAGCAAUCAGCGUCAGUAACAACGUAAUUAAUUACAACUUUCAACAACGGAUCUCUUGGUUCUGGCAUCGAUGAAGAACGCAGCAAAAUGCGAUACGUAGUGUGAAUUGCAGAAUUCAGUGAAUCAUCGAAUCUUUGAACGCACAUUGCGCCCUUUGGUAUUCCAAAGGGCAUGCCUGUUCGAGCGUCAUUUGUACCCUCAAGCUUUGCUUGGUGUUGGGCGUCUUUUGUCUCCAGUUCGCUGGAGACUCGCCUUAAAGUCAUUGGCAGCCGGCCUACUGGUUUCGGAGCGCAGCACAAGUCGCGCUCUUUGCCAGCCAAGGUCAGCGUCCAGCAAGCCUUUUUUUUCAACCUUUGACCUCGGAUCAGGUAGGGAUACCCGCUGAACUUAAGCAUAUCA